AGGAAAGCAAAGAGUAUGGACCAAAACAAGCUCUUCCUCCACUCAACAUGCAGACUGCCUUGUUCAGAAACCAGUAAAGGGGUGCUUGUGCUUCUCAUUAGGCUACCUGCGGCGCAGUACUUACAGAAAGACUUGACAGAUCUAAAAUGUCACUACAAUCACUUUUACCAAGUGCUGCCAACCAGGCAGUGUUAUGCUCUACAAGUCUCCCUGUGCAAGAAAUGUUCCAGUGACAGAAGGCCCAGAAAAAAACAAAACAUGAGUGCAGACAGAAAGCUCACAGCGGAAGAGCAGAAACAAAGCCUACAGGAUACAUGGCUACUUUCCCCUUUGCAGUUGGCCAAGCAGAUGGACAUCCUGGAAAAAAGGCAGCCAGGGCUUAGCGAAAGGCAAGCAGUGUUACUGCCAGGUGAUUCCUUGUUAUAUUUAAGAAAAAUACACCAAAAAGAGGUAAUAAAGUGUGCC